AUUGAACGCUGGCGGCAGGCCUAACACAUGCAAGUCGAACGGUAACAGGAAGAAGCUUGCUUCUUUGCUGACGAGUGGCGGACGGGUGAGUAAUGUCUGGGAAACUGCCUGAUGGAGGGGGAUAACUACUGGAAACGGUAGCUAAUACCGCAUAACGUCGCAAGCCCAAAGAGGGGGACCUUCGGGCCUCUUGCCAUCGGAUGUGCCCAGAUGGGAUUAGCUAGUAGGUGGGGUAACGGCUCACCUAGGCGACGAUCCCUAGCUGGUCUGAGAGGAUGACCAGCCACACUGGAACUGAGACACGGUCCAGACUCCUACGGGAGGCAGCAGUGGGGAAUAUUGCACAAUGGGCGCAAGCCUGAUGCAGCCAUGCCGCGUGUAUGAAGAAGGCCUUCGGGUUGUAAAGUACUUUCAGCGGGGAGGAAGGGAGUAAAGUUAAUACCUGUGCUCAUUGACGUUACCCGCAGAAGAAGCACCGGCUAACUCCGUG
rnacentral:rRNA from 1 species